rnacentral:rRNA from 1 species
AAUUUUGGACAAUGGGGGGAAACCCUGAUCCAGCCAUCCCGCGUGUAUGAUGAAGGCCNUCGGGUNGNAAAGCACUUUUGGCAGGNAAGAAAAGGCGCCGGAUAAUACCUGGCGCCGCUGACGGUACCUGCAGAAUAAGCACCGGCUAACUACGUGCCAGCAGCCGCGGUAAUACGUAGGGUGCAAGCGUUAAUCGGAAUUACUGGGCGUAAAGCGUGCGCAGGCGGUUCGGAAAGAAAGAUGUGAAAUCCCAGGGCUUAACCUUGGAACUGCAUUUUUAACUGCCGGGCUAGAGUAUGUCAGAGGGGGGUAGAAUUCCACGUGUAGCAGUGAAAUGCGUAGAUAUGUGGAGGAAUACCGAUGGCGAAGGCAGCCCCCUGGGAUAAUACUGACGCUCAGACACGAAAGCGUGGGGAGCAAACAG